rnacentral:rRNA from 1 species
GGAUAGCGGAGAAAUUCCAAUCGAACUCGGAGAUAGCUGGUUCUCCUCGAAAUAGUUUUAGGACUAGCCUUGUUUAGUAGUAUGUGGGGGUAGAGCACUGAAUGAGCUAGGGGCCAAACCAGGUUACUGAACUCUAUCAAACUCCGAAUACCAUGUACGUAAGAACAGGAGUCAGACUGCGGGAGCUAAGUUCCGUGGUCAAAAGGGAAAGAGCCCAGAUCGUCAAUUAAGGUCCCAAAGAUAUAGUUAAGUGGAAAACGAUGUGAUUUUGCGUAAACAACCAGGAUGUUGGCUUAGAAGCAGCCAUUCAUUUAAAGAGUGCGUAAUAGCUCACUGGUCGAGUGAAGUUGCGCGGAAAAUUACCGGGGCUAAACUAUACACCGAAAUUGCGGAUUCAUGAGUAAUCAUGAGUGGUAGAGGAGCAUUCUAUAGUAGGACGAAGGUAGAUCGAAAGGACUACUGGACGAGAUAGAAGAGAGAAUGCCGGAAUAAGUAGCGAAAGCAUGGUGAGAAUCCAUGCCAUCGAAAGUCUAAGGUUUCCUGGGGAAGGUUCGUCCGCCCAGGGUAAGUCGGGACCUAAGGAGAGGCCGAAAGGCGUAUCUGAUGGACAGCAGGUAGAAAUUCCUGCACCACCGAUAUACUUAAAAAAUGCAAGGGACACAGUAGUGGAAGGAAAGCGAGGAAGAGGAAAGACUCGUAUCGAAAGAUAUAGUGAAAAAAUAAGUAACGAAUUUCCAAGAAGCACACUGGCGAGAAAAGCUUGUAGGAAUUGUAUAAAGGUGCCCGUACCGCAAACCGACACAGGUAGAUGAGGAGAGGAUCCUAAGAUGAGCGAGAGAAGCAUUGUUAAGGAACUCGGCAAAUUGACCCCGUAACUUAGGGAGAAGGGGUGCCAAAGUAAAAUUUGGUCGCAGAGAAGAGGCCCAAGCAACUGUUUAACAAAAACACAGGUUUCUGCUAAAUCGAAAGAUGAAGUAUAGGAGCUGACGCCUGCCCAGUGCUGGAAGGUUAAGGGGAAGAGUUAGAUGUAAGUCGAAGCUUAGAACCAAAGCCCCAGUGAACGGCGGCCGUAACUAUAACGGUCCUAAGGUAGCGAAAUUCCUUGUCAGGUAAGUUCUGACCCGCACGAAAGGCGUAAUGAUUUGGGCGCUGUCUCGACAAUGUACUCGGCGAAAUUGUAGUACUAGUGAAGAUGCUAGUUACCUGCGACAAGACAGAAAGACCCCAUGGAGCUUUACUGUAGCUUGAUACUGGGUUUCGAUAAUUUAUGUACAGGAUAGGUGGGAGGCGAAGAAGCAAUUGCGCCAGCAGUUGUGGAGUCAUCCUUGGGAUACCACCCUUAAGUUAUUGAAAUUCUAACCUGUAGUCCUGAGCGGGCUAGGGGACAAUGUCAGGCGGGCAGUUUGACUGGGGCGGUCGCCUCCAAAAGAGUAACGGAGGCGCGCAAAGGUUUCCUCAGCGCGGACAGAAAUCGCGCGAAAGAGUGCAAAGGCAGAAGGAAGCUUAACUGAGAGACUGACAAGUCGACCAGAUACGAAAGUAGGUCUUAGUGAUCCGGCGGUAGUGAGUGGAAAUGCCGUCGCUCAACGGACAAAAGUUACCCUGGGGAUAACAGGCUUAUCUCCCCCAAGAGUUCACAUCGACGGGGAGGUUUGGCACCUCGAUGUCGGCUCAUCACAUCCUGGAGCGGAAGUACGUUCCAAGGGUUGGGCUGUUCGCCCAUUAAAGUGGUACGCGAGCUGGGUUCAGAACGUCGUGAGACAGUUCGGUCCUUAUCUGUCGCAGGCGAAGGAUAUUUGAGGGGAGUUGACCUUAGUACGAGAGGACCAGGUUGAACUUACCAAUGGUGUAUCAGUUGUCGUACCAACGGCACGGCUGAGUAGCUAAGUAGGGAAGGGAUAAACGCUGAAAGCAUCUAAGUGUGAAGCCCACCCCAAGAUAAGAUAUCCCAUACCGUAAGGUAGUAAGAUUCCACGUAGACUAUGUGGUAGAUAGGUUGGAGGUGUAAGUGCAGUAAUGCAUUAAGCUGACCAAUACUAAUAAAUCGAGGGCUUAACCAC